rnacentral:lncRNA from 1 species
GACAGAAUCCAGUGGGGCAUAUAGAAUUGCUGAGUUAUGUUGAACCACAUGCUGUGAGAGUCAGGAGUGGACUUAAUGCCUUUCAUACUGCAAGACUGAAAUCAUGAUCUAUACUUUGUAACUCUAGUAUAAGAAGGUUAAGGAUGAUCCAGAGCUCUGAUAAUAGUGAAAGGCAUUCUAGACCAAAUCUUUUCUGUUUUGGGGAGCUUUUUAGUGUUCAUGGAAAUUUUUCACUCUCUAUCCCAUCUGACCUUGACAAAUUUGUGAAGUGGGUCUUAUCACUUCAGCACAGGUGAUAAGGAGGUUGAGAUUUUGAAGAACCAAAUGACCCAUCCAAGGGCAUACUGUUAUUAUAACAGAUGGAAUUUGGACUUAUCAGAGUCUAAGAUAUUUUCAAAACUCUACUUAUGGUCUUGAAAGGAUAGUUUUUAGAAACAUGGGUUCUUAUAGAUAUAAGACAGAAUUUAAUAUGCUUGCUAAAGUACUCGGAAAACUUCCUGUUCUAGAGAGCAGCUGGUAAGUGGGGUUGACAGUAAUGGCCCAUAGGAAUAUACAGGAGUUUACCUCCAAUCAUUAAUCCAUAUGCCAAACCUCUACCCUAAUGAUCCCUGCCACAGAGGACAUAGUAUUUUCUGGACCUUCUCUAUCCUUUGCUUUUCUCUAUACUUAAGUCUUUGGAAUUUUUCUUCUAAGGCAAAAAUCCCAGGUUAAUUUCAAGAACACUCAUAAUACUGAACAUGACAGAAUUUAUUCUUUACUCUUGAGGUUCCUCAAAGUACUAGAAAUGGAAUCACCAAAACCAGCUAUCCCAUUUCUCAGUACUUAUCCUAAAUAAUUAAAGUUUGCAUACUCCCGGGUAAGGUGGCCCAUGCCUGUAAUCCCAGCAGCUUGGAAUAUUCGAGGCAGGAGGAUAGCAAGUUCAAAAUCAGCCUCAGCAACUUAGUGAGACUGUAAGCAACUUAGAUCCUGUCUUGAAAUAAAAAGAAAAUAAAAGGACUGAAGAUGUGGCUCAGUGGUUGAGUGUCUCUGGGUUCAAUCCCUGGUACUAAAAAACAAAACAAAACAAAAGUCUGGAUACUAUAGCAAUAUAAGGUGUCCAUAUUUAUAGCAGCAUAAUUCACAAUAACCAAACUAUGGAGCCAGUCUAGGAUUUUCUUUCUUUUUUUAAAUAAAUUGAUUGAUUGAUUUGAAUUAGGCAUAUAUGGAAGCAGAAUGCAUUUUGAUUCAUUGUACACAAUCGCAGCACAACUACUCAUUUCUCUGGUUGUACACUAUGUAGCAUCACAACAUAUGUGCAGUCAUACAUGUACCUAGGGUAAUGAUGUCCAUCUCAUUCCAUCAUCUUUCCUGCCCCCAUGCCCCCUCCCUUUCCCUCCCAACCUUUUGUCCAGUCAAAGUUCCUCCAUUUUCCCAUGCCCCUCCACUUAUGUAUCAGCAUCCACUUAUCAGAGAGAACACUUGGCUUUUGUUUUGGGGGAUUGGCUUACUUAACUUAGCAUGAUAUACUCCAACUCCAUCCAUUAACCUGCAAAUGCCAUAAUUUUAUUCUCUCUUAGUGCUGAGUAAUAUUCAAUAGUCAGCCUAGGACUUUCAUAAUGUGUUCAACCUUUAUAAAUAUGAUCCAAAGACUUGCAACAGUUUCUGGAAUAUUGUCUCUCUUCUUCUGCUCUCAUCUCAAAUUCUCCUGAUCAUAACUCUCUGAGAUAUUUAGCUCUGUGAUCAGAGGGAAAGAAGGAAAAAGAGUAAAGAGAAGAAUAAAGUUUAAUUAUUAGUAUUAUGAGAACAGGAAGAUGAACAUGCAGCAUCAGGAUUCCAGGCACUCACAUUGGAUCUGGUUGUCAGAUACUACAGGGCAGGGAUGAUAGCCUCCUGAAUGUACAACCCUGCUUGAGUCAUGGAACUUGAUUGGACUGGUGAAAAAAAUGUAUCUGAUUACACCAUUGUUCUUUCAGUCCUAUCAAGAUGCCAUAAGCACCUUAAAUUUUAUUGAAUGGGUUAAGUGUGGUUUACACAAUUUUGUUGUUAGACUCAUCCUAGUCCAAGUUAAAUUGUAGACCAAAGCAUUUCAAGAUGACUUCCAAACUAUUACUUUCCUCCUUCAAAUGUAUAACAAAUGUCUAAUUUCUCUGCCAGACAUUGGUGAUAUAGGUGUGAAUAAGAAAAAGCCCUCCUUUCUGAGGAUGCCAGACUCACACAAAGGACCAAAUAUUGGAGAUAGCAUGGUAUACUUGACCAAGUUAGUGAGACAGUAUUGUGUUCAAAUCCCAGCUCUGUGCUCACUAGUUUUGUGACUGUGGGCAGGAUACUGAUUAUUAUUAAGAAUAUCUCCCCAGCAGGGUUAAUGAUAUAUUAACUUAUUGGUCGUUGG